CAGUAGCCGCGGGAAUACAGAGGGUGCGAGCGUUAAUCGGAUUUACUGGGCGUAAAGCGUGCGUAGGCGGCUUUUUAAGUCGGAUGUGAAAUCCCUGAGCUUAACUUAGGAAUUGCAUUCGAUACUGGGAAGCUAGAGUAUGGGAGAGGAUGGUAGAAUUCCAGGUGUAGCGGUGAAAUGCGUAGAGAUCUGGAGGAAUACCGAUGGCGAAGGCAGCCAUCUGGCCUAAUACUGACGCUGAGGUACGAAAGCAUGGGGAGCAAACAGGUUUAGAUACCCGGGUAGUCCCUGUCUCUUAUAC
rnacentral:rRNA from 1 species